GAUGAACGCUGGCGGCGUGCCUAAUACAUGCAAGUCGAGCGAAUGGAUUAAGAGCUUGCUCUUAUGAAGUUAGCGGCGGACGGGUGAGUAACACGUGGGUAACCUACCCAUAAGACUGGGAUAACUCCGGGAAACCGGGGCUAAUACCGGAUAAUAUUUUGAACUGCAUAGUUCGAAAUUGAAAGGCGGCUUCGGCUGUCACUUAUGGAUGGACCCGCGUCGCAUUAGCUAGUUGGUGAGGUAACGGCUCACCAAGGCGACGAUGCGUAGCCGACCUGAGAGGGUGAUCGGCCACACUGGGACUGAGACACGGCCCAGACUCCUACGGGAGGCUG
rnacentral:rRNA from 1 species